rnacentral:rRNA from 1 species
UGCAACCUGAGCUCAGUCGUGUUACCCGC